rnacentral:rRNA from 1 species
UCGGGAAUUUUGGGCAAUGGGCGAAAGCCUGACCCAGCAACGCCGCGUGAGGGAUGAAGUAUUUCGGUAUGUAAACCUCGAAAGAAUGGGAAGAAUAAAUGACGGUACCAUUUAUAAGCUCCGGCUAAAUACGUGCCAGCAGCCGCGGUAAUACGUAGGGAGCAAGCGUUGUUCGGAUUUACUGGGCGUAAAGGGCGCGUAGGCGGCGCGGUAAGUCACUUGUGAAAUCUCUGAGCUUAACUCAGAACGGCCAAGUGAUACUGCUGUGCUAGAGUGCGGAAGAGGCAACCGGAAUUCUUGGUGUAGCGGUGAAAUGCGUAGAUAUCAAGAGGAACACCUGAGGCGAAGGCGGGUUGCUGGGCCGACACUGACGCUGAUGCGCGAAAGCCAGGGGAGCAAACG